CGAUGUUACCGCAUUGAAUCACAAAGGGGUGGGCCUUGGCAAUGGUAUAUGAUUUCUGACAUACGAGAUCCAGUCCAUAACCAGUUUGGAAACAGUCGUAUUGUCAGGUUGGAAGGCUAGGAAAACGGACAGCCCCAACUCUGCCUUUUACAAGGGGGAGGACAGGGCUGUCUGUGUGGGAAAUAUUGCUACUACGAUAGCUGUGAAGAAACAGUGGGACCCGGUUGAUUUAAAACGAAUGGAUGGUCCCAGGCGACGUCACCAUCAACCGUCGCCACGAAGCUCGAGAAUCUGCUGAUACUAUUCUGUAAGUGCUCAUUUCGUUUACAUCGCUCUGCUCAUGCAGACAAGUCGGCAGUUGUGAGAGGCGCGUGACAACCCCACUAGAUCCACCCUUGUCUUCUGAGGCACUUCGUCCCACGAUAUAUGAGGGAGUACCAUACAAUGUUGCACAGGUGUGUGUGUAUCCCAGCCUAGCUGCUACUACUCUUCGCUGAGUGGGUCCGGGAUGGCCCGAGGGGUUGGCUGUUAUCUUUGGUUAUCUAGCUGUAUGAGUGGUGUACAUUCUUCAUAAAGCUAGAUAACCGAAAGUAACAAGAAUCCCAUUACACUCCUGCGAGGCCGGGCUCUUGUGCCAACUCAAAAAUGGGCGACGCUCGCGAGGAAGUAACUCUGGCGUUUGUGCCCAGCCGACCAAUCAGAAGACUUAAAGGUGACCCAUCACAUUGAAGUUAUGUCACAGCCAGUCCACCACCUUCCAACGGCCAGCCCACCUCACCAAUGGUGAUGUCCAUUUCUGAACGUAGUGGUGCCGACCUGACCUAAAUGGAACCGGAUUGGCUCCUCUUCCAUUUUCUUCUGUCCCAAUAUUUAAACCUGGAGCACUUUGUGGACGUUCAACGAUCUCCUUUUGGUUGGGGUGAACUUUAGGCACAUGCCUGGACAUGCCUGACAAACUGAACAUCGGGUAAUGUACUGUUGGGUCAUGGAUACCAGUGGAUACUCAACCACAGCUGCCUCUGUGGGCCUAAUCCCCAGACCGUCUUUGGAUGCACCAAUCAAAGGAGAAAUUGAAAUGGACUACUGUGCACGAGUGUGUCUCUCUCCUACAACUAACUGACUGGAUACAUGGACAGAAAUGGAGGGUGUGAGACGUGUGUGUUCUGUGUUGUGAUGGUACACUGUCUUCUCUGAGAUGGCUCUACACACAGCUGUGUCUGUCACAUCUGCAAUGCAUUCGACACGGGUCAGCAUGCUGAUCUGUUCAUGUGUGCUGUGCUUGUUUGUCUUAAGUGCAUACACUUUGAGUCACCCUCACUCAGCGCAAGUUCUGUUCUGGGAUUGUAAGCCACACACACACAUCACAGUAAAUGUAUUUUAACCUCCUUAUUUAUCAUGUGCUUAUGCUACCUGGCAAAAAUAAUAUUUGACACUGGAGGAGGUUGUAUGGUUUAGUAGUAGAAUCGCACUGCACCACUGAUUUUAUUAUCAAGGAGAGGUUACAACUGGCAAGUAAGUAUAUUUUAUUGGACAGCCCACAUAUUAUUCAGAUUAUGUAUGUAUAGAUAGAACACGUACAAUUAAUUAAAAUAGAAACAUAGAAAUGUGCUAAUUGAGUGGUUUAAACAAUUGUAGUAUAACAAUCCGAGUAGGACGAUUACUUAUGUGUUGUUUAGUUAGAAUUUCUCAAAUUAUUUUCAAAGUGUGAAAAUUUGUUUUUAUUUUGUGUAUAUUAUUUCUAUGCAUCUUUUGAAACCUAUGCAAAUGAAUCCACAAAGUAGAUAUUUUAUAAUUUGCUAAUGAUGAUCAUUCAAAUUCUCAGAGGGUUUAGAUUUUCCCCCAGACAAUCUGUUAUAUGCUGUAGGGUGAUGUGAGAGAUUAGAAAUGAAAGUGCAAUUCCAGACAGUAAAAUAUGUUGGGAUUUUACAGCGUUUUUCUCAACUGAUUUGGAUUUUUAUAUAUUUUUUACAAGUGUAUCAAUAUCAAAAUAUAAACAUUGGAAUGUUUCAUUUGCUUAAUUGUACAGGGACAUCUAUAGAUCUUAAAUUCAUGGAUUGACUAGAAAGUUACAUAUACAGAUUUCCAAACAAUUAUUUUGGUGUGAAAAAAUGUGAACAUUUUUACUCUAUGCAACUUUUAUACUUUAACUUUUUGUAAUAAAUAAUAUGACUAUCAUUCGGAGCAACUGCAAUUCAUAUUUUGAUUUAUGUCACGCUUUUGAGGAUUAACUUCCACAAUGUUGAAAAUGUUUCAUAUUUUUGCACUGUUUCAGACUUCAUUUGAGAAACUAUACAAUGGCUGUAUACUAAAUAUGUUUGAUAGCGUGAUGUACUGUACGGUUUAACAACAAUGUGUACUCUACAUGAACAACAAAUGUGUACUAUAUGAGCAAAGUAUGUAAUAGCCUGUAAAUAUACUGUAUGUUAUCAAGACCACACUAUAUGUAGUUGGUUAUGGGCAAUCUUUUGUGAGGAAUGUGCAAUCAGAGUGCAUGUAAACAGUCAGCGUGAAGUGUGUGUAGAAUUAUGUACCAUGUAGAAAGCAAGAGUUCAAUAGAUAGAAUGUGUGUGGAGGCAGACACUACGUUGAGGGUGAAUGCAAUGUUUUAAUGACAAUGUUGGAUUUUAAAGAGAUGUUUGCAUGAGUGCACUAUGGCCCACAAGAUCAUAGACUACAUUAGGCAUGUUUGCAAAUGACCUGUGAAUCCUGACUGUAGGGGACUGACUCAUUCUUGUACCAUGGACCGUGUACUAUGUACGAUGAAGUCAACACAAUAAAUGUUUACGUUUAAAAAGGCAAAAACACAA